rnacentral:tRNA from 1 species
UCCUUGGUGGCUCAGAGGUUAAAGCGUCUGCCUCCAAUGCAGAAGACCUGAGUUCGAUCCCUGGGUCGGGAA